rnacentral:lncRNA from 1 species
UCCAAAGCUCAAGGCUUUGUCUCACAAACGUGGAUGGUGGAUUUUGGCUGUAUCUUUAGGCAUUACUCAAGUUGUGAGGAUCGCAUACAGUACUGACUUUCUUUCCCAUCUAUUAAUUGUUUAAAUUGAACUACUGUCAACAAACAGGCUGUCAACAAACAGGCCAUGAUGUACUGGUUGCAACAGCUGCAGAUGAAACGCUGGGAGUUCUGUAAUAACCAGGCAAGAGGUUUUGUGGAGGAAGAUGCUUUUUUCACCUCUUCUGUGAAUGAGGAGCGAUGUAAUAAUACUGAUGCAGAACAUGAGUUUCUACCUCCUGUUAAAACUCCCGCUGAUGAUGUAGUCGGCAUAAAGGCAGCCUCUCUACCAGCACCACAGCUUUCUGUUGCUCUUCAGAACAUCUCCCUCAAGCAUCCUUGGAUUGAAAUACAGUAAUGGUUUUAUAUAUUUAAAUUCCAGAAAUGUAAAUUAAUCUUCCUUGAAUCAAUAAUUAGUCAUCUCAGUGACUAAUAAAUGCCUUUCUGCAUCAUAAUGGGUCUUCA